rnacentral:misc_RNA from 1 species
GUAGGUGAACCUGCGGAAGGAUCAUUGACAAAUCUAAACCGUUGCUUGGAAGCUGUCUUAACCGGCAGCCUUCAUGUCAACAAAUUCUAACCUGUGAGUCGCAGCACGCAAGUGUUGUUUGCGCGUUGUGUACGGCAGUAGUGUGUGUAGAGAGCAAUCUCUGCUUGCUCUGCUGCUGUAUGCACACGCAUAAAUUAACGUAACAAAUGUCUUGAAAAUACAAAACUAAAAAAUACAACUUUUAGCAAUG